rnacentral:rRNA from 1 species
UACGGAGGAUCCGAGCGUUAUCCGGAUUUACUGGGUUUAAAGGGUGCGCAGGCGGGAGAUUAAGUCGGCGGUGAAAUUUUGCAGCUCAACUGUAAAAGUGCCUUCGAUACUGGUUUCCUUGAGUGUGGAUGAAGUAGGCGGAAUUUGUGGUGUAGCGGUGAAAUGCUUAGAUAUCACGAGGAACUCCGAUUGCGCAGGCAGCUUACUAAACCACUACUGACGCUCAGGCACGAAGGCGUGGGGAUCAAACAGGAUUAGAUACCCUGGUA